AUUGAACGCUGGCGGCAGGCCUAACACAUGCAAGUCGAACGGUAACAGGAAACAGCUUGCUGUUUCGCUGACGAGUGGCGGACGGGUGAGUAAUGUCUGGGAAACUGCCUGAUGGAGGGGGGUAACUACUGGAAACGGUAGCUAAUACCGCAUAACGUCGCAAGACCAAAGAGGGGGACCUUCGGGCCUCUUGCCAUCGGAUGUGCCCAGAUGGGAUUAGCUAGUAGGUGGGGUAACGGCUCACCUAGGCGACGAUCCCUAGCUGGUCUGAGAGGAUGACCAGCCACACUGGAACGGAGGCACGGUCCAGACUCCGACGGGAGGCAGCAGUGGGGAAUAUUGCACAAUGGGCGCAAGCCUGAUGCAGCCAUGCCGCGUGUAUGAAGAAGGCCUUCGGGUUGUAAAGUACUUUCAGCUGGGAGGAAGGGAGCAAAGUUAAUACCUUUGCUCAUUGACGUUACCCGCAGAAGAAGCACCGGCUAACUCCGUGCCAGCAGCCGCAGUAA
rnacentral:rRNA from 1 species